CUCGAGCAGUGACCGAGGGAGGGUGCGCCAGCCUCCUCUCACACCCGACACUUACCCUCGGUGACAACCUUGAGUGAAAACCACAGUGAUCGGAAAUAUCAUGUAAAUAAUGAACUAGUGUAUUGUGAUAAACCAAAGACACUGUUAUUACCAAAGAACGCCAAGUAAACAUAACCCUAAGAAAAGCAAUAUUAAUGUAUAAGUUGGGUGAGAGCGCCAAGGGGUGCUAGCCGGAGCCCAGAGUGUUGUUGUGGUGCCCCAGCCUAGUGCUGGUCCUCCCACACUAGAGGAUGGGAGGCAAGUGCUGCCUCCUGUGUAAUGCUCCCUACGGGGCCUACCGGGGAUACCCAGAUGUCAAAGUGGGAGAAAGUCUACCUCGCCGACCAGAUCCCAACGCCCCUAACUCCUCUGGUCAACAGGGAUCUGCACACACCCACACCCACCCACAUGCCCAUCACAAGUACCAGCAUCACCCACAUGCCCACCAUCAGAACUACCAACACCACCCUCAUCCUCACUCACAGAACCAAUACCACCAUUAUAAGAGUGACGACUUACACGGCAAAUAUCAAAUAUAUCCUGGGCAGAAUUACCAAAGUAAUGGGCCUUACACUAAUUAUCACGGGAGUUCUAACUACCCUCACAACUACCCGGAGGAUAAUGUUAACUAUCCUAAUAACUUUAAACAAGCUCACAACCGGCCUCCAAAUUACCAGGAGAGCCAGCAGACACUCACAGCCAACCCUAACACCCUCAAUGGUCACCGUGCCAGAAUGAACGGCACCUACGGACCCAGCCACUAUGACUUCCAGGACUACCAUAACUUCAAGAACCACCAACAGGACUACAAGAACCAUCAGCAGGAAUACAAAACGCAGGAUUAUGGUACUUAUGGCACUCAUGCUCGUCACCACGACCAAAGACUCAAUGGUCGAGUACCCAAUGACAUCCACCAACAACAGUAUUCAGACUCUGAGCUCACCGUUUCUAAACACCAGCAGUCAGUAGCAGCAACGACAGCGGCUGCGGUACAAGAGAGCGUAGAGGUGCGGGGGCUGCAGGGAGUAAGCGCAGGGGAGCUGCUGGGCAAGACUCAUGAGGAGUUGGUCUUGUUGCUCAUUCAGCUACGGCGACAUCACUCGGCGCUACAGUCAGCCAGACACCAUGCUCGCCUUGAAAGAGACUCCCAGGCUCGUCUUGCACAACUGGAUGGGGAGCACCGUGAGGAACACCUGCGCCGCCUCGCUAGCCUCAAUCACCACCUCCAUGACCUAGACAAGCAGCAGUAUGAAAUGGGUAAACCAUUGAUCAACCUGGUGGACAAUAUGGUCAAACUUGGAUCUCUAUAUCGAGGAGGAGACUCCAAACUUGUUGCCCAACAUGAUCCUAGGCGGACUCGUUCAUACUGUCCGGCAAAUGGCUAUGAUUCACUUCAGUUCUCAAGGAGAAUACAAGAAAGGAGAAUAGUAGCAGAAGAUUUACAACUGCAGGAGUAUGAGUUGGCGGCAGCAGACCAGGAUGAUCUUGAGGGAAAAGUGAUGCAAUUGUAUAAGUUGGACAAGAACCUACAUCAAGAAUCACUGACCAUUCAGAGCUUGCAGAGAGAGAAGGAGAUGCUGGAGCGCACCCUAGUUAAUCUCCACUCCAAGUCUCAUGGAGCAAAUGAAGGACCAGUAGAGCUUGAACGCAGAAAGAAACAGAGAAGACAUUUGGAACAUGAGCUUUCCAAACUUCGUGCUCACCUUGCUGUUUCUGCAAGGAAACUAGAAGACACCGCAGCUGAGAAUAGUCGCCUUGAACAUGAAAUGAUGAUGCUACGCCAAAAGAUACAGAUGACGAUGGCCCGUAAUUCUCAAAGAGAGUCUGGUGGCACUUCUGAAACUCGUCAUAUUGAAGCAGAAAUGGUCCGAGUUCAAACACUUCUAGAAGAUCUUCAGAGGCGAAGAAUUGAGCUUAGUCAUCAGAUUCAGAAACUGACAUCAGCUAACCCAGGCAUAGAAAUCAGACCAUCACCAACAGGUGUUGUUGGGGCCGCUCCUGUACCUGCAAGACGGAGAACUCACAGCACCUGGCUCGAAACUGAUUUGGAUGCAAUGAUUACUAGGGAUAGAGGGAUGGAUCCCCCUGAAGAUAGCAGAAGAGGCAAUCCUCCAGUUUAUGUUAAUGCUUCUGGAUAUGUAGAAGAGGUUAGUCCUAAUGAUUACCCUGAGAGUCCUGACUUCAUUGAUUCUGAUUACCCACCCCCUCCACCACCUCCUGAACACAUGCGCUCCUACGGUCAUCAUCUCGAUGGCCAGACAUCACUUGUAGAGCACUAUCAGACUGAUCUUAGGUAUCUUCAUUCUGAGUCAUCUUUAGGAGAAUCAAAUCGAAGACAGCAUUUACUGAAUGGAGAUCUAAGUAUGAGUGCCAUUACUGGCCUGGACCGCGAUGCUGCAGAUAAUAAACCUGACGGAGAAGAGCAACAACAGUCUGCAGGUCAUCUGGAUAUCAAUGAUGCAGAUGACAGAAUGAAGAGAUAUUAUGGUAUUCUUCCAAAAGAGAAGCCUUUAGAGAUCAAGACUGUACGAAUAGUUAAGAGAGAGUCCACCGAACGAAGGAAAGAUCGCAGUACAGGCGGGAAGCGUGUUACCAUUGGAGACUCCAGCUUAACCCAUUUACUGGAGGAUGACAUUGAAAGUGAUGGAAUGUCUGAUACUGAAAAUGAACCUCCAAUUCCUUCGUUUGCAUCAAGGUCUGCUUCAUUACCUCGUAACUAUGGCCGUAAUGGUCCAGGGGAGAGAGUCAGUAUGAUGGCAGCUAUGAUGCGAACUAGUGUUGGAAAUGCUGGAACAAUGACUCGCCCGAGCAAUUUGGCUCUAAAGAAAUCAGCAGGAUGGAAAUCUAAGACUGAGAACCUCAAAGACCGGCCAUUGAGUGCACAUGAACAGCUUUUUGGUUUCGCUCGGGAAACUGAGCAAACUCCCCCUGCUUCCCCUUCCAAGUCGGAUCCUCCCUCCCCAGUGUUCAAAAGUGCUGCAGCACAGGAAAUUAUCAAGGAAAUGGCCUCUGAGGCAGAGAAACAUCGCCGUACAGUACCAAAAGAGAAGAGACGUCAUUUUACUAUCUCCAGUAGCCGACCAAUAACAUUAGAAGCAAGAGAUGCAGGUGCAGAGGAGGGCGCCAGAUCAAGGGACGACUGUGACAUGGUCCGUGCCUUGAGGCCACGUAAUCAUCCUGAUGUUGUCAAAUCAACUCUGAGUACCCGAGAUCUUCGGUUUAAUGAAACAACAAUUGAUUCAGUUCUUGGUGCUCCAAGUAAAAUCUACAUUCCAGAGAGAUAUAUGCCAGAUGAGGAUGAUGAGAAAGAACCAACUGAAGAAGAACGUGCACAUAGAGAACUGAAAGCAGAAUCCAUUCGCAAGAUGCUUUCUGAGACACAAACUACUGUUACAAAGGGUGAAACAGGGGAGGAACAGUCAUCUGAAUUUGAAGCCACUGCCACUUCCUCCUCAGCCUUCAAAGCCAAGGUAGCAGCUGAGAAGAAGGAGCGUGAACACCUUCUGGCCUUGAACCAGAUUCUUGCUCGUCAAGUCAUGGAAAAGAGUCGUGUAGUAGCAGCUCACACCACAGUGGAGCCUCACCUGUAGCUGGCCAUGUAGCAUCAGGUGGGUUGACCUAUGCCAUAAAGCUCACCCAAGACUGAGCUAAAAGCUAAUGCUUUAUACGAGCUCUUACCAUGUUGACCAAGCAACCAAGUUCUUCCGAUGAUGACCUCUCACCUAUGCAGCCACUUCCUCUUGUGCAGCAGCGGGAAAACUACCUCGUCUAGAG
rnacentral:misc_RNA from 1 species